GGUUAAAUCAAAAGACAGAACUAAAGCUUCUGGACGCGGGUUCGAUUCCCGCCGUCUCCACCA
rnacentral:tRNA from 4 species